GACGAACGCUGGCGGCGUGCUUAACACAUGCAAGUCGAACGGAAAGGCCCUGCUUUUGUGGGGUGCUCGAGUGGCGAACGGGUGAGUAACACGUGAGUAACCUGCCCUUGACUUUGGGAUAACUUCAGGAAACUGGGGCUAAUACCGGAUAGGAGCUCCUGCUGCAUGGUGGGGGUUGGAAAGUUUCGGCGGUUGGGGAUGGACUCGCGGCUUAUCAGCUUGUUGGUGGGGUAGUGGCUUACCAAGGCUUUGACGGGUAGCCGGCCUGGGAGGGUGACCGGGCACAUGGGGACUGAGAUACGGACCAGAAUCCUACGGGAGGCAGCAGUGGGGAAUAUUGCACAAUGGGCGGAAGCCUGAUGCAGCAACGCCGCGUGCGGGAUGACGGCCUUCGGGGUGUAAACCGAUUUCGCCUGUGACGAAGCGUGAGUGACGGUAAUGGGUAAAGAAGCACCGGCUAACUACGUG
rnacentral:rRNA from 1 species